UCCCCGACGUUUUGUGCUUUAGGCAUGCUCUCACUGAGCGAAAUUAGUGUUUUCCUCUGAACUCUAGACAGGGAUAGAGCAUCACGCUACAAAAUCCUGGGGUGUGUCGCCGUCUGUGUCCUGGUUGCGCAGCUGUUGAGGGCAGGUACAAAACCGAGCUCUGGGUUGUACAGAGCCUCAUCCUGUGAAUUUGGAGAGGCCUAGGAUGAAUUUGGAGAGGCCAAGUAUUCUAGAGCAUCAGCUUUGUCCAGUUAUCUCACAAACAAAAUUACUAGGCCUUAAGACACUCUGGAAAAUUUACAUCAUCAAGUAGGUUUUUCAGAAAUAUAAAUAGAGUAAAGGUCUUUACCAGUGACAGUGAUACAAACCCUCUGGAUGAGAUAUGCAUGUGGUGUACUGGGAUCCAAACAUUCAUUAGUAAAAAGAAUUUAUGACCUGAAUGUUUUGAUUUACAAGCAUAUGUUCUCUUCAUGCUAGUUACUAGCAGUGCAUCUGCAUUAGCAGUUUGGCUUGGAGCAGCGAUGCAAUUUUAAGUCAAAUCAAGAGCUGCCUUAUGUUAAGUUCUCAAAGUGGUUUUGAAGUUUGCCUUUCAGAGAAAACUAAACUGGGUACUGUGCUUCAAAUAAGCUUAAUGGCAGCAUUGUUUUUGGCUCUGUUCUGUCUGAACCCACCCAGUCAUAAGACCGGCUAGCUUGCAUUUAACACUCACCACUGCUGGGCUCUGAAACCCAAGAAAGCCCCAUGACAUGGUGAGGAGCUCAUAUACUGUAUUAAGUCAGUGUUCUGUGCAGUGUUCUCCUUUACCCAAUGAUUAUCAUUCUAACCAGCUUUUAAAAUAACUUUACACUUAUAAGCAUCCAGGAAAACAAAUAUACAUUGAUAAUAUAUUUUAAUCACUUAAACCAGAUGCUGUCAUUUUCUUGUCACAAAUUCUACUCAUGUUUAAAUAAAACUUUCCCAGCCUCUCAUAUCUGAGCACAGUUUUUCACAAAUGACAUGAAGAUGAUUUUCAUUCAAGUUGUUUUACAGACAAUUUAGAUUGACUCUGCUGAGAAGAGCAGCACUCCCCCUACUUUUGUCUCCCACCUGCCUCCCCAUCACUUCCGACUGCUAUAGUACUUCUUUCUGUAAAUAUUGGCUGUAGAUUAGAGGGUAAAUUCUAUCAGAAAACAGAUCUGGAUUAAUACCAGCCUCUCAUUGUGGGGCGUUUUGUUGUUCUUGGGGUGUGGGUUAUGUUUGCUGCACUGAGUUUAGUCUGGAUCACUUUUCCAAAGUUGUUUUUAAAUGUUGUGCUGCAACAAGGUUUUUUUUUUUUAGUAUUUGUAGUCACUGAGUGGAAACAUGAAAAGCAGUUUACAUUCUUGAAAAGGAAAGUUAUUUUAUAAUGGUUCAGUGUGAAGGAGAGGUUGUUCCAGUCAAAGUUAAGGUAAUUCCACAUUACUAACAGCAGGUAUUAGCAGCAAGAGAUCGAGACAAGAGUUUGCGCUUAGUUCAAGCCAUGAUUUUACUGAAAAUGUAGGUCACACUAAAUUUUUCACGUAAUUAAACAAAAUUAAUAGAACUGAUUAAGAGAUGUUCUGGGUGGAUUUGAUUAGCAUGCUGAUAAAGUGGGAUUUGUUUUGGAACUUCCUAGAUUUGCAAAGAAUAUGAGAGACUAGUCAGGUGGAUAGUGGGAACGAAAAUUUUCGUAGCCAAAAAAAGUAUCUUCUCUCUUUUAACACGAGGGCAAUGGCAAUCCUUGAAAACUGUGUGUUCAUUAUUAAAGUGAAAUUCUUACACAUUCAAGAGAAGAGCAGGCUGAAAGAAUCCACAAAAAAGAGUGCAGUCGUUCCUUUUGUAGCUUAAUCAUGAGGUUUUUGCAAUCCAGUCCAAUUUGUUGUUUUCAGAUGUUCUAAGCAUCUCUUCCUCAUGAAAACCCUUGGGAGAGCUGAAAAAUCAAGAUAACUGAGACUGCUUUUUGUUGAUUUGGAAGCAGUGUUGUUAUAACUGUUUCUAAUUAUUGAGUUAAAGGAAUGAAACCAGCUCCAACACUCUGAAAUCUAUUACCAAAGUGGAGCUUUCACUUUUAGAGAUGGCUGUUCAGUUAUAGGGUAGGUAUUUAGUUACUCUGUGGAAAUGUAUUAACAGUUAGACUUGGUCUGAAAGUCCUGAUGCCAGAGGAUAUGACUACACAUACAUAUCGUAAUAUGAAGUAGCAAUAAGGGAGGAAUCAGCCUCAGGCUGCACAGGUAGUUGGCCAAGCUAUUAAAAAAUUAACAUGUAACCAGGCAGCGAAAAUACAUUUAUUUUGUUGCUUCCAUGUAAUUAACAAAGAACUAAUAAACAUCUUCAUAACAUGUGUUUUUGA